UACGAAGGGUGCAAACGUUGCUCGGAAUUACUGGGCGUAAAGGGCUCGUAGGCGGCCAACUAAGUCAGACGUGAAAUCCCUCGGCUUAACCGGGGAACUGCGUCUGAUACUGGUUGGCUUGAAUCCGGGAGAGGGAUGUGGAAUUCCAGGUGUAGCGGUGAAAUGCGUAGAUAUCUGGAGGAACACCGGUGGCGAAGGCGGCAUCCUGGACCGGUAUUGACGCUGAGGAGCGAAAGCCAGGGGAGCAAACGGG
rnacentral:rRNA from 1 species